AAGACACCUUUCAUGGUAGCUCUGGCUGUUGUAUUAAGAAUUAUAUCAGUAAGAGCAAGGCACCCCACAGCCCAACCAAGGUAAUACAGGACACACCCAGACCUCUGUAGCCUGCAACUGGUUUAUAGACUUUCAGGCAGACCCAGGCAAGAACAAACAAAGGAGAUGAUGAAUGAACACAGGCAACAGUCUGAUUUCUAGCUACUGCUUAAGAAAAAAAAAUUAAAAUAUAUAUACAUACAGAAAAAAAGAACAAGGGGGAAUAAGAAUCAGCUACAGCUCUGCAGCUACAAACAUGUCAUGCAGCUUAAAGCAACUGUGCUGCAUGAUCUGUGGUUCAGCUAAGCACCUGUGCAUCAAGGUUCACAUGGACAUCACUGAAGUUAAC